rnacentral:rRNA from 1 species
AACGAACGCUGGCGGCAGGCCUAACACAUGCAAGUCGAACGAGAAGCCACCUUCGGGUGGUGGACAGUGGCAGACGGGUGAGUAACGCGUGGGAACGUGCCUUUCGGUUCGGGAUAACCCAGGGAAACUUGGGCUAAUACCGGAUACGCCCUUCGGGGGAAAGAUUCAUUGCCGAAAGAUCGGCCCGCGUCGGAUUAGCUAGUUGGUGGGGUAAAAGCCUACCAAGGCGACGAUCCGUAGCUGGUCUGAGAGGAUGACCAGCCACACUGGGACUUGGACACGGCCCAGACUCCUACGGGAGGCAGCAGUGGGGAAUAUGGACAAUGGGCGCAAGCCUGAUCCAGCCAUGCCGCGUGGGUGAAGAAGGCCUUAGGGUUGUAAACCCCUUUCAGCGGGGAAGAUAAUGACGGUACCCGCAGAAGAAGUCCCGGCUAACUCCGUGCCAGCCGCCGCGGUAA